CGCGGGGUAGAGCAGUUUGGUAGCUCGCAAGGCUCAUAACCUUGAGGUCAUGGGUUCAAAUCCUGUCUUCGCAA
rnacentral:tRNA from 1 species